rnacentral:rRNA from 1 species
UACGUAGGGGGCAAGCGUUGUCCGGAAUUAUUGGGCGUAAAGAGCGUGUAGGCGGUCCGGUAAGUCAGCUGUGAAAGUCCAGGGCUCAACCCUGGAAUGCCGGUGGAAACUGUCGAGCUCGAGUCCGGAAGAGGCGAGUGGAAUUCCUGGUGUAGCGGUGAAAUGCGCAGAUAUCAGGAGGAACACCAAUGGCGAAGGCAGCUCGCUGGGACGGUACUGACGCUGAGACGCGAAAGCGUGGGGAGCAAACAGG